CGGCAAAUUACCCAAUCCCUGACACGGGGAGGUAGUGACAAUCAAAUACUGAUACAGGGCUCUUUUGGGUCUCUGUGAAAUUGGAAUCGAGUACAAUCUUCAAAUCCCUUAACGAGGAACAAUUGGAGGGCAAGUCCUUGGUGCCAAGAAGGCGGGGUAAAUUCCAGCUCCAAUAGCGUAUCAUCUCA
rnacentral:rRNA from 1 species